CCCUAAGAGUUCUGGGCCGCACGCGCGCUACACUGACGGACCAGCGAGUACUUCCUUGGCCGAAAGGCCCGGGUAAUCUUGUUAAACUCCGUCGUGCUGGGGAUAGAGCAUUGCAAUUAUUGCUCUUCAACGAGGAAUCCCUAGUAAGCGCAAGUCAUCAGCUUGCGUUGAUUACGUCCCUGCCCUUUGUACACACCGCCCGUCGCUACUACCGAUUGAAUGGCUCAGUGAGGCGUCCGGACUGGCCCAGAGAGGUGGGCAACUACCACUCAGGGCCGGAAAGCUCUCCAAACUCGGUCAUUUAGAGGAAGUAAAAGUCGUAACAAGGUCUCCGUUGGUGAACCAGCGGAGGGAUCAUUACCGAGUUAUACAACUCAUCAACCCUGUGAACAUACCUAAAACGUUGCUUCGGCGGGAACAGACGGCCCCGUAACACGGGCCGCCCCCGCCAGAGGACCCCCUAACUCUGUUUCUAUUAUGUUUCUUCUGAGUAAAACAAGCAAAUAAAUUAAAACUUUCAACAACGGAUCUCUUGGCUCUGGCAUCGAUGAAGAACGCAGCGAAAUGCGAUAAGUAAUGUGAAUUGCAGAAUUCAGUGAAUCAUCGAAUCUUUGAACGCACAUUGCGCCCGCCAGUAUUCUGGCGGGCAUGCCUGUUCGAGCGUCAUUACAACCCUCAGGCCCCCGGGCCUGGCGUUGGGGAUCGGCGAGGCGCCCCCUGCGGGCACACGCCGUCCCCCAAAUACAGUGGCGGUCCCGCCGCAGCUUCCAUUGCGUAGUAACUAACACCUCGCAAACUGGAGAGCGGCGCGGCCCGCCGUAAAACACCCACUUCUGAAUGUUGACCUCGAAUCAGG
rnacentral:rRNA from 1 species